rnacentral:antisense_RNA from 1 species
AGUAGAGAAAGACAACUGACCCCAGAGCCAGGAAACUUGGUUGUGGUUCCAGUUCUAGAAACCCUGUGUGGGAACUUGGGGAAGUGACUCAACUUCUAGCUCUGGUUUCUUCCUCUUCAAUGAUGUUAGCAGCAUGAUGAUUUCCAGGCUCUUCACAUUCUAACAGUCUAGAACUCUGUGAAACUUCCUGCUGUCUCAACAAGGUUCCACGCUAGGAGACUUUGGGCUUAUCAUUUAACAUUUCCAUGCUUUCAUAAAUUAGAUGAAUAACCUCCGGCCUGCCUGGUUUGUAAGAUGGUUGUGAAGAUUAAAGGUGGAAAUAUAUAGGAAAACACUUUGUAAAUCAUGAAAGCUUAAUAAGUAUCAACACUAUUUUUUACCUGAGUCAGUAGUCAUUGGAAAUUCCAAUAUUUGGCAGUUGUGAAUAACUGCCAAUUUAACAGUUGUUCAAUAUUAACAGCUUUUCAAAAGCUGAGGUCUUCAAGCUACAGGUAGAAGGAGAUAAAAGAAGCUUUCCUAAUUCAUUAGAACAUCAGUUCUCCCCAGCCAUAAUGUUCAUCAUGGAAGUACUUUUCCCCUUUGGAGAUCACUGGAAACAGCUUCUGGACCACAAAUGGGGUGAACUACUGUAUCGAGAAAGGAGAGAGUAAGACUUGAGAGAUAUCUUUUUAGCUCAGGGUGCAGGACUGGACUAAGAACUCAGUUAAGUGAAGCAAGCAAGAAUUUCCCAAGUGAUGCCAACUCAAAAUGAAUUAUAUCAAGAAAGGAAAAGCAGCUUUUUCAUCUGGAAAGAACUGGAGACCUUGAACCUAGGCAGCAUGUGCCUUGAACCUAGGAUCAGUAAACAACAAGGAUGGAAAAGACAGUAAGAAUUUGGUCAGAUCACCAUAUCUUUCCAUUGUGCCUUUAGAACAAAAGGAAAGAAAAUAUCUCUUUGGCUCACAGAGAAAAUAUGUUGAGAAAUGAAGUACAACCCCUCACCUUGCUGGGCACAGAGCAGGUGCUCGGUAAAUAAAUAGUGUACGUGUUCGCUGAGUAACAUUUGACUUGAAUUGCCUUUAAGCACUUUGAGUGAUCCAGUGGUAUUUAUGGACCUCCCAGGCACAGCCCUGCACCAGCUUUCUCAGAGUAGUGUCUCCAUACAGGCAAGCCUUUUAAUCCCCAGUAAAACAAAAAGAUGACGAUAAAUAUUCAGUAUCUUAAAAAUUUAAGUAAAUAUGCAGUGUCCUACCUCUCACUCACAUCUGCAAAUGAUCUUAGUUUGUUCCUUGGAGAGGAACCAAAUGCUUUAGUGGAUGGUAGCACAUUCUCUCUCCCUUUGCUUGUAUAGACCUGACCUAACUUAAAAAUAAAUGUUUAGUUAAGA